GCCCUGCUCCUGGUGAAGGCACAACUUCUGCUGCAGAACUCCCCUGCAGGGUCAGGCUACUGCUGGGACAUUGCAAGAAUCACUCAUCAGCCAAAGGAUGAAGAGUCCUUUUUAUGGUUCAAGCUAGAAGCCAAGCCAGUCUCCUCACCUGAAAAAUGGGAAGAGCAAAAUAUCCUACCCUAGAGGGUUGCUGUGAGAGCCGAAAGCGUCUAUCCACGUGAAGCACAUGGGACAGAGCCUGGCACAAAGAAAAUGCUUCCCAGCUCCAUCAGCCCACCGCCCCCUCUGGCCUUCCCUCAAGAGCAGCCACUGGGCCUUGGUUGCCAUGGAGACAGUUUCCCUCAGAGGCUUUGCCUCCCAUCUUCUUUUCUUUUCUUUUCUUUUUUCUUUUUUUUUAAUUUGAGACAAGAUCUCGCUUUGUCACCCGGCCU
rnacentral:lncRNA from 1 species